rnacentral:tRNA from 1 species
GGGUCCUUAGCUCACUGGUAGAGCAUUUGACUGGGAGAUUAAGAGGUCGUUAGUUCAAAUUUAGUAGGGCUCU